rnacentral:rRNA from 1 species
AACGCGAAGAACCUUACCCGGGUUUGACAUGGAUCGGGAGUGCUCAGAGAUGGGUGUGCCUCUUUUGGGGUCGGUUCACAGGUGGUGCAUGGCUGUCGUCAGCUCGUGUCGUGAGAUGUUGGGUUAAGUCCCGCAACGAGCGCAACCCUUGUUCACUGUUGCCAGCACGUUAUGGUGGGGACUCAGUGGAGACCGCCGGGGUCAACUCGGAGGAAGGUGGGGAUGACGUCAAGACAUCAUGCCCCUUAUGUCCAGGGCUUCACGCAUGCUACAAUGGCUGGUACAGAGAGUGGCGAGCCUGUGAGGGUGAGCGAAUCUCGGAAAGCCGGUCUCAGUUCGGAUUGGGGUCUGCAACUCGACCUCAUGAAGUCGGAGUCGCUAGUAAUCGCAGAUCAGCACG